rnacentral:rRNA from 1 species
UGCCAGCAGCCGCGGUAAUACGGAGGGUGCAAACGUUGCUCGGAAUCAUUGGGCGUAAAGCGCGUGUAGGCGGUUAAUUAAGUCGUGUGUGAAAUCCCUGGGCUCAACCCAGGAACUGCGCACGAUACUGGUUAACUAGAGUACAGGAGAGGGUGGCGGAAUUCCCGGUGUAGAGGUGAAAUUCGUAGAUAUCGGGAGGAACACCAGUGGCGAAGGCGGCCACCUGGACUGAUACUGACGCUGAGACGCGAAAGCGUGGGGAGCAAACAGGAUUAGAUA